AAAAUAUCGCAAGCUAGAUUAUUAUCAAUCAGAGUAAACUUAUUAUCCACCAAAUAAUUUAAAAUAUCGUAAGCUUGUGUCGCUUACAUUUUAUUCGAUAGCGAAACUCUUAAAACAGUUACCAAAAGAUUCAGCAUAAAUAUUGUAACCGCCCGUCCCUUACGAUAUUUUGUUUUUUUAAUCGUUAUGUUUCGCGCCAAAAUUAGGGUAUGAAAUAUCACAACCGCCCAAAAUAUUCAUAUAAAUAAACGUAUCCGCCUGUCGCUUACGAUAUUUUUGUUUUGUUUGUUAUUAUGUUUUGCGCCAACAUUAGGGUAUGAAAUAUCGCAACCGCCCAAAUAUUUGUAGAAAUAAACGUAUCCGCCUGUCGGUUACGAUAUAUUGGAAAUCGUGGUAUAUCAGACACGUAGGUUCUCGUCGGAUGUUAAAUAAUCGUAACGACCAAACUAAAUCAGUUUUUUAACCCUCCUCGUGGAAAGCGGACGUGUUUUUAGUGUGUUUUGUUGUUAUACUGUUAUUUAUUUAUCCUAAAAAUGUCCUAGGGGCUUACGGUGUCUGAAUUUGUGUAAUAAAAGUAAAGAAGCUGUUGAAACCCUGAAAUUGCGACUCACAAACGAAGAGUUUUCCGAAGGAACAACAAUGUUUCAAAAGACGUUGGCGUUACUCUCACAAACAAAGGGAGACGAAUCUAAAGAUGCUCCAGACCCCAUGACUAUUCUUGACAAUGUUAAUGACAAUGCUUUUUUUGAGCAAAAUCCAGAAUUAUCCUUUCAACCCAAGCCUGAUCAAGAAAUUAUUGUUAAUAAAUUAGCGGGACAUGAAGCUACGGUACAUUCACAAACAAACGGAGACGAACCUAAAAAUGAUCCAGAAACAAUUAUGACCUUCACUAUUCUCGAAAAUGUUAUUGACAGUGUUAUUUCUGAGCAAAAUCCAGAGUUAUCUCUGCAACCCAAAGGUGAUCAAGAAGUUAUUAUCAAUGAACCAUUAGCAGGAGGAGCCGCUGAAACUACCGACCUUGACAAAGGCAACAUCCCUAUUAUUAUUAUACAACCAAAUGGAACAGUUAUUUCUAAUUAGGAAAAUAGUAUUGCCAUGAAUUCAUUCAGUGCUGCGCUGACCUCAAUCUUACUGGUGUAUCAGACCUUGACUUCCUGAUGAACGAAAGUGUUCUGGAACCAAGUGCUGAAAUUAUGACGUUUCCAUUCGAUAAUAAUAGUUCAAGUAUAGAAAGUUAUGAUCCCCAGUCUAAGCAAACAGUGACAACUCUUCAGAACAAUAAAUCAACAGAUGAUAAACAAGCAAUGGCUAUGAAUAUUGACAGAGAAGAUAAUGAUAAUAAUGAAGAAGACAUUAGUUCAGAAGAUCAAAGCAGUGAUCGGGCUAGCACUGAUUUGUCCAAACAUAAAAUCAAAAAACCAAAUAAAAGGCUAGAAAAAAAGAAACUAUAGAGUUCUGGUGUUAAUAAAGCAGUAAAGCCGAAUCCAUGUGCUGGGAAAAAUGUCAGAAUAAUUGUAAAUCAGUAAGUGAAACUGACAGAAAGCAAAUAUUAAAUGCCUAUUAUGAACUUGAGACCUAUGAAGAAAAGAAAAGUUGGCUAAUUCAAUGUAUGAAGCAAAAAGAAAUAGGAAGAAAAACGUACCAAGCAUAUACAAUAAUAAUUCCAAGCGACAAAAAACUAUAGAAUAUAACUUAACAGUAAAAGGAGAACAAAAAAAAGUUUGUCAGCAGUUCAUACUAAAAACCCUGGAUAUCAGUCAAAUGUCUUUGCGACAAACCAUAAACAAUGUUUCUAAGACAGGAAUGAUUAAAAAAGACUCGCGAGGUCGCUGUGCACCAAAAAAUAAGACAUCUGAGAAAUCUAUUAAACAUGUCAAUGAUUUUAUUAAUAAAAUACCAGUGGUGCCAUCCCAUUAUUGCCGCUCCCAAACAAAGAAACUUUACAUGCUUUCUGAAAUUGGAAAUUUUUCAAAUCUAUACAGAUUGUAUAAGGAAGAUUGUAAAAUGCAAAAAAUGGAUCCAGUGAGCAGAGCAACGUUUUUAAGGAUUUUUAAAGGUUACAAUCUAGACAUUCAUGUAAAAAAAAAAGAUAAAUGCAGUCUUUGUGAAAGGGUCCUAAGUACAGGCUAAAAAAAUGUAGAAGCAGCAGAUUUAGAAAACUAUCUGCGUCAUAGAGAAGAGAUAAAAAACAGUCGUGAUAAAUUUAAAAAAGAUCAAGAAAAUCGCGACCCCAAUUUCAUGCGUGCAUCUUUUGAUCUACAGAAGGUGUUAACUACGCCACACGGAAACAGUAUACUUUUAUAUUAUGCUCGUAAAUUAGCUGUUUACAAUUUCACAUUAAACUAUCUAAUUGCCGGCCAUACAUACAUGCCUGUUGAUUCUAUGCAUUCCACUAUAGAAUCAUUUAUAUCAAAAAGAACCAUUUACGCACCUUCAAUGUGUUGCUUCAAAGUCUUGCAAGGCACACACCCGGAGCAUAUUUCGUCAAUUUAUUAAACUAUGACAAUUUUCUGAACUACUCAACCAUUGCAAAAGGGGUUUCUAAUUUUUCCCAGUAUGUUGAAGACAUAGAAACUAGUGAACAACCUGAAAAAGUUUUAAAGAAAAAACGAACUAAAACUAGAAGCAAAAAACCUAAAUUAGUCAAAGGUAAGCCCCUUCAAAUUUCCAAAAUUCGGGUAGUAAAAAUGGAAGCAGAAAAUCCAAAAUACAUGACAGUUCAGUAUAGUUAUUUGCAAGGGUUAGCCAAUGAACAGCACUUUAGUAUUAAAAAUGACGGAAAGCCUCUUAAUAAAUGCUACACUUCCCUACUGCCGAUAUCGGCGGCUAAAUACAAAGAUCUCAGCAAAUUAUGUUUGCAGUCAGCUAUUCCAAAGGACUAUCAUACCGAAUUCAUUAGUCUGCCACAUUUGCAGGACAUUAUAGACGUAUUACCGGACACACAUGAAGAAGAUGAAGAGG
rnacentral:lncRNA from 1 species